AAGAAAGUGACCCCCGCCCCGGGGAGGGGCGAGCCAAUAGACCGACGCGAAAACAAGUUCAACGACCAACAAAGCGCACGCAAAAAUCAAAAAUCAGUUGCCC
rnacentral:sRNA from 1 species